GUGAAUCAUCGAAUCUUUGAACGCAUCUUGCACUCAUUGGAAUUCCAAUGAGUACGCCUGUUUCAGUAUCAAAAACACCCCACAUUCAAAUCUUUUGUUUGAAUGGAACUUGGAGUGACAGUUUCACGACCGUGCUCUUCAAUUAUAUUAGGCCUGAUCUUUGUUUAGACUGCCUGAACUUUUUUUUAAUAUAAAGGAAAGUUUUGACAAAAUAAACUUGUGCUGGGGCCUUUAAAGAACCUUUCUUAAACUUGAUCUGAAAUCAGGCGGGAUUACCCGCUGAACUUAAGCAUAUCAAUA
rnacentral:misc_RNA from 1 species